rnacentral:tRNA from 1 species
CAAAAUGUAGCUUAACCAAAGCACCUCGCUUACACCGAGAAAAUAUCUGUGAAACUCUGAUCAUUUUGA